AUCUAGAGUGAGGGAGAGGCAGAUGGAAUUGGUGGUGUAGGGGUAAAAUCCGUAGAUAUCACCAAGAAUACCCAUUGCGAAGGCGAUCUGCUGGAACUCAACUGACGCUAAGGCGCGAAAGCGUGGGGAGCAAACAGGAUUAGAUACCCUGGUAGUCCACGCCCUAAACGAUGUACACUAGUUGUUGGGAUGCUAGUCAUCUCAGUAAUGCAGCUAACGCAUUAAGUGUACCGCCUGGGGAGUACGGUCGCAAGAUUAAAACUCAAAGGAAUAGACGGGGACCCGCACAAGCGGUGGAGCAUGUGGUUUAAUUCGAAGAUACGCGAAGAACCUUACCUGGGCUUGAUAUCCUAAGAACCUUAUAGAGAUAUGAGGGUGCUAGCUUGCUAGAACUUAGAGACAGGUGCUGCACGGCUGUCGUCAGCUCGUGUCGUGAGAUGUUGGGUUAAGUCCCGCAACGAGCGCAACCCACGUAUUUAGUUGCUAACGGUUCGGCCGAGCACUCUAAAUAGACUGCCUUCGUAAGGAGGAGGAAGGUGUGGACGACGUCAAGUCAUCAUGGCCCUUAUGCCCAGGGCGACACACGUGCUACAAUGGCAUAUACAAUGAGACGCAAUACCGCGAGGUGGAGCAAAUCUAUAAAAUAUGUCCCAGUUCGGAUUGUUCUCUGCAACUCGAGAGCAUGAAGCCGGAAUCGCUAGU
rnacentral:rRNA from 1 species